rnacentral:tRNA from 2 species
GGGCGCGUAGUUCAGCGGUAGAAUGCCUCGCUUACACCGAGGAGGUCAGAGGUUCGACACCUCUCGCGCCCA